GACGUCGGGCUGAGAUUCUGGAAUCACAUAGGCAGUGAGAUUGGGGGAGACGCGAUGCUUCCCUUGAAACCAUCAAGACAGAUGUGCUCGGGUUUUUAGGGUGUACCCCCAAGGCAAGCAUAUCUGGGGCGUCUCCAGGCAGAUGCUAACCCUCGGGGUCAACCAGGAGGCUGCAGCUUUGCGUGACACCACCGCCCAGAAUCCAGGUCCGGGUGGAGGGGUGGGCGGCACCGCCCCUCGGGGGGAUGUUCUCCCGACUUCGGAGAGGAAGAAAGGAAGAAAUGCACCCUAGGAAAAUGGGCUUCGACUUUUUGUGUCUGUGCUUUCAUGGAAGUCACCAGUUCUCUGGAUGCUUAAGAUGCCACUCAGAAGCGCACCGAGCCAGACUGUGGCUAGCCUUGCUAAGUCCGCCUGUCUUGGUCGGCGACCACUUAGGGUAGCCCCGGGAUAAACAAUAGCCAUCAAGGUUAGGAGAUAUAUUCGCCAUGCUUACCUGUUGACAAAAAAUGCAAAAUAAAAUUUAAAAUUUGGAAAAUAAUACAUGGUAACAUCUUUUAGAACCAAGGCUUUUCAGACAAAAGCCAAUUUUACCAUCCCGAAAGCUAUGGAGCCCUGGAACUACCGUUCGCGGCACUUUGGCGCCCUCUGGCUGUGUCAGGAUUGCUUGCUUGUUCUGCUUCGUCCCAAACGAAGAGGGGCAAUGGAAAUGCUUGCUGUUCUCUUGGCUGGAUCUACCCUCCUGAGAGGAGCACGAAUUCAGAAGGACCUUGUUCUCCACGGUCGCGAUGGCAAAACAUAAUCAUAUUUAGGGAGACAAACGCCAAAGUCCAGUGCAAGGAAUGGUGCCCGGAAUAAAUUGGCAAAUGCAAAAUCAAGUAGCCAGCAGAACAUCAAGGACUCAGCCUUCUGUUACAAGCAAAUCAAAAGAUGCUGCGUGGCCCACUUGAGAACUCAGGCAGCUCCAACUCCAAUGAAGCUGAAUGAACAUCGGGGUGAAGACUUGAUCUCCAAAUCAAUAAGCUUAAUACAAGCUAGAGUCAUCUGAGAGAAGGGAACUCAAGCUGAGAAUGCGCUUCCAUCAGAUGUUGCUGUGGGCAAGUCUGCAAGGAAUCUUCUUAAUUAGAGGCUGACAGAACAGGGCACAGCCCACGGUGGUGGUGCCACUCCGGAGUGGUGGUCCUGGAUUCUGUUAAGAAAGCAGACUGGACAAGCCAUAAAGAAAAAGCCAGAAAAGGGCACCAGACCUCAUUACAGAUGGUUGUGAGCCACCAUGUGUUUGCUGAAA